GCACGGGGUAGCUGCGAGUCUGCUCCGGAGAGCCUGGUCGCGGUUGCUGGACCAUCAUCGAGCUAGUUAAUUCGGAAUGAACAACUAGUCGUGAGGCUGUGAGGCUAGUAUUCGGGUUGGGGUUAGGUGCGUGGGAUUUUCUUCUCCCUAAAGGGUAAGGGACACUUAGCUGUGUUCUCUUUCGACGGUUGGGCGACACGUGUUGUUUUCGGACUACGCUGGGCACUAGAGACACGUCUGCACGCUUCGGCACUCCACAGCGAACUGAGCCCAAGCUCACUAUCAUAAAUCUGGAACAAAUACAAUCGGAUUGAAUGGCGGCAAUCGCUUAAUUACGGCUAUGGUAGAAUCUAGAUUAAAGUGUUAAGGGACUUUCCCAAAAUUCCAAAGGAGAGGCUCCGGUGUCCUUUCAUCUCUGAUAUAUAUAUAUAUGCUCAGAUUUCAGAGCUUAGUUUUAGGAGUAAUGUAAUAUCGUAAGGUAGUUCAAAUUAGAAAUCAGUUGAAAAUAGAUAAAACCGAGUACGUCGUCUUUCUGUGGUUCGUUUACAUUUAAGAGUGCCUGCGUGACUAAAGGCACGUAGUUGGUAGUUCUUACAUAGGUAUGAGGGAAACAAUAGACAACGUUAGAAGAAGGACGGUUUCGCUAUCCAAGGCGGGACGACCGAAAGAUCAGAGUGUGCGAGUCGAAAAGUGUGCGUGUUGCGAGAAUCAGAGCUAAUUGAGUCGUCGAAGAGUAGAGUCGUUAGAGGUAAUCGAGUCGUCGAAGAGUAGAGUCGUGAGAAUUGAUAGAGUUGUUAGAGAGAGAGAGUGUGUGUGUGUGUGUUAGAUUCGUUGUGACGAGGGUGGUCAAAUAACUGUAAAGUUAUUUGAUAUAGAUACGAGUAUUGCAUUUAGUUUCCGUUAAAUAAACAUCGUUUUCUGUCCAAUUUAUAUUUGUAUAUUCAAUUUAAUAUUAAUAAAUUGUAAGUAAUCGGAAAAAAAAUUCUAUCCUUAUUUCCACGAUAUUACAGUAAUAUAUUGUAUUUCCCAGAUUACUUUCAUUAAUAUUCGUCUUAAGACAUUAAUAACACUCAAUUUUAAUUUUAUCAAAGCAAAAUAAAUAUUUUUGUUUAAUUAAAACUCUACUCCUAAAAAAAUAAAACUUUUCUAUUUAUGCAAAAUUGCAUGCAAUAAAAGUUUCAAUGAAUACACUUCGUUUUGUAACUGUUUUCUUCAAUCAGAAAAGAUAACGGCCAAAAAAUUAUUGUUAUUCCACAACUAAUUGGAAAUUUUGACAGUUUAAUUCGAUCAUUGGAUCGAUUACACGUACGGUGAUUUUUCAAAUUCGGAAUCAGUUACAGACCUAACUGAAGAGUUAAGCCCUGCGAUGUGUAGUUGGUCCAGGGACAGUGUGGCAAAUCUAUUCGUUCAACGCUGAUUGGUUCCGCCAUUUAUAAAAGCGCUUCCUGCAGCAGUUAUGUAUAGAUUGGUAUAAAUAUAAAUGUAUGAAGUAUACGUUUACAAAGUUGUCUGUAAACAAAGUGUAAUAAUAUUUACCGUGUAUUGGAGUGUAUAUAACGACGGAAAUAAAGAAUAAUAAGAAAAAUCAUCAUAGAGAACAUACAGAAUUAACAUUUAAGUUUGGAACGUUAGUUCAAAUGCCUGAUUACUCAGCCAAGGGAUGCAGAAACAAGUCAAAGAGUGGCCAUAGUUGUACACACAGGUCUGUUAACUGCUGUAAAGGAGAUAAGGUUCUUAAUGUCGCAAGAUGUACUUUACCAAUCGGCCACCAUUGAACACUGCGAUCGAGUAGCUAGGGUUUUGUGUUUGGCGCCAUUCUUCGGUGAAAGCACUAAAGACGUAGCAGUAUAUGCACCACUGCGAACAGGCAGUACAUUGACAGAGAUUAUAGAAGUAGCAUUGGCAACUACUACUUAUGAACCAAAUAACAGGCAAACAAAAAUAAUUCCGCAAGACUUUCUUGACAAAAUCAGAGGAAAAAAGAUUCACUUUCUGCGUACGAGAAUUCCAACUAUUUCCUAUGGAAAGCCACGAACAAAAUAAAGGAGCCAAUUAAACUAAUCCCAGCAAUCAGAUUAACGGACAACACAUGAGCCAGAAGCAACGAAGAGCAAGCUGAAGAAUUUUCCAACCACCUUUGUUGAAGUUAUCUCUUCGAGGAACGCGUGAUGAAUGUGUAACAGAAAUAUAUUUAAGUAUAAGUGUAACUCGUUACAUUACAACAGAGCUUCGAAGCCAUGAGUCUAUGGGUAUUUAUAUAAUUACGAAAACUGGCCGGUCUAUAUAUACCCUGCUGCACCAUCUGUGCAUGGCAUAUUCCUAAAAAAGGCUAUGAGACUGAGAGGCCCUUCAAAUUGAUUUAGAGCUAAACAAUACUCAAUAGCAUCGGGGACUAAGAGAACUAAACGCUAGAGAAGAUGUAGUUUUCCUAGAAACCUAAUUUUUGUCGUAAAUAUUGAAAUCUUGGUUUCGGUAACGCCUUCGUAAAUAUAUCUGCUUGUUACGUCCGGCGACUCUCUACACAAAGCAGACUCCACGCCACAACCAUACCGUCGACCGAUGGGUCCGCGGUAGAAAACGGUAACAAGGAAGAAUGGCCGCAGGAAAUCCCUGACUCCUAAAGCCGCGAGCAAGGUGGUUGGAGCGGAGGAAGCGGCGAUUGAAGCCAUGAACUUAGGUGAUUAAGAUUAAGGGUACGCACCCUCCAGAACAAUCUGGGACAGUCAAGACCUGCUUUUCCAAACCAUUCUGGAGAGCACGGUUGCCCUAGCGGUGGUGGCCGAGCCAUACAGAGUCCUGGACGCUCCGGACUGCGCCGGAGAUACAGACGGCUGUCACCUGGACAUCAGCGCCGGCAUCGUCCGCCCACAGGGAUCCUCUGGAGCGCGGCAACGGAUACGCAGCGGUCGAAUGGUCAGGAAUGGUGGUAGUGGCCGUGUAUGUGUCGCCCAACAGCGAAUGGACAGCGUUCGAGGAGUUCUUGAACGGGGUAGACGACUGCCAUUACGAUUACGAGAUAUAGUAUUACGUUAUAAUACAUUACAUUAUAACGUAUUCCGUUAAAUUGAAUUACGUUAUAUCAUAUUACGUUUUGCCGUUCCUUCACAUACUGAGCAGAAGGCGAACGUUACCAUGAUCGCGGACGGAUAUUAAGACAGGCGGAGUGGGGAUAUGGUAAGAAUAGAAAGGGAGGCAAGUGGAUCAACACAGCAGUUGCCCGUAACCAGUCGUCAGUAGGAAUCGCAACCAGAGAUUUCUGAAGAAGUCGCUGGUCAAGAAAGCAAACGAACUGCGGAACGAAGCGCCGCGUAUUAAGUUGGCAGCCUUCACGUAAUAGAGUACAUUCAGUAAUAUAGUAUUACGUUAUAUAUGUCGGAGAUGAAAGAACACCGGAGUCUGUAAUUGAACAAUUGUAGUUAUUCAAUCCGAUUGUAAUUGUUCGAGAGUUGUGAUAAUGAGCUUGGGCUCGAGGCGACAGUCAGUCGCCGAACGUAGCCGCGGUCACGGGAUGAACGCUUUGUCUAACAAAGGUAUGGAGUAAUUCUAUAGCUCUCCUUAAAAGAAAUAUUCGUGGCGACACGCGACAGUAAACAUUCCAACGGUUUCUGUCCCGUGGCUCGCCACACGCAGACCCUAUUCUUCGAGUAAGAUGAUUACCAGAUGUCGAUGCGUCUCCGCAGUACAUGUUCGGCUAGCCUGAGGACCCGUUAUAAAUCCUAAGAUUUAAUUAACUAAAGUCCUUCAAACAAACAAACAGUCAUUGUCCCAACUACGGGAAAAUAGGGGAGACCUAUUUUUCGACGAGCGGCGUCUCCCACUAGCAACUUUCCAUCGAGGGCGGCUAGCAUCUUUUUCUAACCACCGAUAUGGAGAUUGACCAAUUAGCAGCAACGCCAAUUUGUCUUACUUUCUGAACGAAGGCUUUCCUCGACGAAUCCGAUGAUCUCGUGUCCUUAGACACACCCCAUUAUAGUUUUCCUCUGUGGCAUCAUCGGGACGGGAAAGGCAUUCUCGCUCGCGAUCUCAGUGAUGAAAGGAGUAACUCUUUACAACCAGUGAAUAUUACGCAUCCGACUUAGAUUUCGUGAGUACGUUCAUCUAUCAUCCCGUCGACUGCGGAUUCGUUAUUGAACUUAGGAUCAUUGUCAUUAGUUUCUCGAGUACCUAACUACCACGGUUACUUGUCCGGUUCUAUAAUAAUCGUAUUUGCACUAGUCAAUGUCUUCUCUAUUGCAUAACGACGACGUGUAAUCCAAACGAAGAUUCGCUUCACGCCCCUAACCCUAAUUCUAAUGUAAACCCGACAUAUAGUAUAACGCUAUAACGCAUUACGUUAUAAAGUAUAGCGUUAUAACGUACUACGUUAUAUAGUAUUACGUAAUAUGGAAAUAACGUAUUACGUUAUAUAGUAUAAGUAAAAUCCAAUGCAACCACAGCUAUCAAUAUUGAAGAUUAAAUAUGUAAUUGAACGAAUCUCCGCUUCCGUUGAGGAUAUGUAGACAAUUCGAUGCUCGUUAUACUCCACGUUUGAUGCCAAAUACAACGCACAUCAUCUGGUUUGCGCUAUGUCCACUCUUUUCCUGUCAAAUCCGAUGCAAUUAUAAUUUUUAAUGCUCAAGGCUAAAUAUUCAAUUCUACGAAUCUCCGCUGCUAUUGGACAAAUUUCGACAAUUCGAUACGCGUUGUACUCCACAUUUGCUGUUUUACACAGCGCACGUCAGUCGGUUUGCACUAUGUCAUCUCUUUUCCCUGUCAAAUCCGAUGCAGUUAGAAUUUUUAAUGCUCAAGGGGUAAAUAUUGAAUUCUACGAAUCUCCGCUACUACUCAGGAUACAGAGGCAGUUCGAUGCGCAUUGUACUCCGUAUUGGCUGCUUUAUACAGCGCACAUCAGCUGAUUUGCACUGUGUUAAUCCUGGACCCUGUCAAAUCCAAUGGAGUUAGAACUUUUAAUUCUCGAGGCUAAAUAUUGAUCUCCGCUGUUAUUAGGGAUACCUAGGCAUGUUGGGUCCCAAAGGUGCUAGUGGUAUCAUUGCACUGUUCACGCCCAGUAGUGCCAAGUGCCAACUCCUCCUCCAAGUCGGUGGGGCUGGUAAAUACUGACUUGUCAGUGGCUACGUGGAUGGCGACGUGGCUUAAGAACUCAUCCUGCCCGAGGAAGAGAACAUGCAUCAUGGCGUAAACAAUCACACGUCGCAGACCCGAUCGGGUGUCGUGGCGGGUUAAGCCUUUCGUUACUGGCGGCUUCUCCUGCGUCACAAGCGCUCUGCGCCAAAAAGAAAAAACUUUCCUCGAAACAGGGUAUUUAUAACUUCUUAACACACUCACUUUUAAUUGAAAUUUGGGUAGGCCUACUUUGGGGGGGGGGGGGACAAUCGUCUCCCCUAACGCCACAUUUAGUUAGUUAGUUCAUAGGAUAGGCCUAACGAGAAGACGCGGGGAGUGUACCGGCAGUAAUUUCCAAGAGGUCUCGGGCACUGCUGCCAAACGUGUAGGUUGGCCACCGUGGAGUUUUUGUCAGUAGGAGUCUGGCACUACUCCACUAAUUCUCCAGAAUGCAGCGGAGUGUCCAUGAGGAUUUCUCCACGUAGAAGAAAAAAAGAAAGAAGGUGUUGAAGCAUAUAAAUAGGUGAUAUAUCGUAUUUCAAUUCUUUGAAUUUUGUUUGAAUUAUUGUUAAUUACAAUCACAAUUUCUGAUAAUAUCAUGCACACGAUUAAGUGUAACCACGCUCUUAAUCGUCAUCGUUGUCAAUUACAAUUAUAAUUCCAAGUUUACUUACAUUCAUUUUAACGAAAUCAAUGUUUAUUGCUAGAACACGCGCAUAUUCGUACAACGAUGUUAAAAAUCUGAGCGUAAUGGAAAUGUACGUACAGCAGAUACUCACAGGAAAAACCAACGAGACUAAUAAUAAAAUCAAUGAAUUAGAAAAAAAGAGCUAUAGACAAAUAUCUUAUAAUAUACCGUGGCAUAAUCUGCAAUUUAUUAUAAAAUAAUUGAUCCCAGCAGUAUCAAUUAUAAAAGAAGAUGGCUGAAUAUGAUAGACACUGUCGAAUACUAAUCAAAUAUAAUCAUUUAGUUAAUCUUUAAGAUUUAAGUUAAGAUACAUCUUUGAGGAAUCAAUAAGUCUUUCGCUAAUAGCCUAAUAGAUCCCUUGAUAGAUCAAACGAAGAAAUACCUAACCGCGAUUACAGCCAAUUGGUACAUAUUAUUCGAUACAUAAUUAAUAUCUGUAUCGCGUACAGCGAUGCAAGUGGUAUUGAAGAAAAUAGCCAUUUUAUGUUACAACUAUAACGAGUAAAUUUACUCGUUUAACUUGAGAGGAAUUAAAAAGGUACCUGACUUUUAAAUAAGCAUUAAAUAAGAAAUUUAAAUAUCGCAGACGGUGAUGUAGGUGUUAUUCAAGAAAAGAGAACAUUUUAUUUUGUAAUUAGCACGAGUAAAUGAACGAAUAUCGAUAAUAUAAUAUAAUGAUUAAUAUGAA